AGAGCUUACAGACUUUGGGUUUCCUACUUUGGCCGUGGUGAUGACUACUUCUGUCUGUAAGAUUUAAUAGGUUUUUUGUGGUUCUGACAUCAGCUGCAACAUUCUAUAAUUCUGGGCAGCUUUAUGAUAACAGCCAAGGACGAUUACAGAGUCCACAUGACUGACAAGCCAAUGGCGUCACAAAUGUGUAAUGCUGGCAUCCUCUGAGCAAGCCCAGUGCCGGGGCAUAUAAAUAGAAGCCACUGGUCAUCGGGAGGUAUUCCUGGGGCUGAGGUCAUGUUCCCUUGCACCAUCAUGGCAGGACCUGGCGAAUGCUGGGUCCACAUCUAUACCCAACAAAGAACUCAGAUGAGAAGAGCAUGACGGACCGGAGAGGGGACCAGAAGAUUGGCUGGAGAAUAACACUUGUGAAAAGAUGGGAAUGAAGAGACCCAGAAGGGGAACUUGCCCAGGACAAUACAACUCAUAGGUGGAGUUCAGAUUCCACUCCAGGAGAUCUAGGCAAGAGCCUGUGCUUAACCCUAUGCCUCACCAUUCUCUGUUCCAGCCCUCAGGGAGGUGAAGGCGGAGGGUCAUUUAGGAAUCACCCUUAGGGCCCUUUUGUGACUUCCCUUCACAACUCCCAGAAGUAAUAUGUGACGUGGUCUAUAAGAGAGCAUUUGGUAAAUAACGAUCAAUUCAUUGUUUUCUUGAA